UUGUGGGGUCCAUUCCACGGAUUCCGUGACGCAGCUAACGCAUUAAGUUCCCCGCCUGGGGAGUACGGCCGCAAGGCUAAAACUCAAAGGAAUUGACGGGGACCCGCACAAGCGGCGGAGCAUGCGGAUUAAUUCGAUGCAACGCGAAGAACCUUACCAAGGCUUGACAUAUACGAGAACGGGCCAGAAAUGGUCAACUCUUUGGACACUCGUAAACAGGUGGUGCAUGGUUGUCGUCAGCUCGUGUCGUGAGAUGUUGGGUUAAGUCCCGCAACGAGCGCAACCCUCGUUCUAUGUUGCCAGCACGUAAUGGUGGGAACUCAUGGGAUACUGCCGGGGUCAACUCGGAGGAAGGUGGGGAUGACGUCAAAUCAUCAUGCCCCUUAUGUCUUGGGCUUCACGCAUGCUACAAUGGCCGGUACAAAGGGCUGCAAUACCGCGAGGUGGAGCGAAUCCCAAAAAGCCGGUCCCAGUUCGGAUUGAGGUCUGCAACUCGACCUCAUGAAGUCGGAGUCGCUAGUAAUCGCAGAUCAGCAACGCUGCGGUGAAUACGUUCCCGGGUCUUGUACACACCGCCCGUCAAGUCAUGAAAGUCGGUAACACCUGAAGCCGGUGGCCUAACCCUUGUGGAGGGAGCCGUCGAAGGUGGGAUCGGUAAUUAGGA
rnacentral:rRNA from 1 species